rnacentral:rRNA from 1 species
UUAAUCGUCAACACAAGCAGCAACCACAAACCACUGCUCGCCAGAGAAGUACAAGUGAAAAACUAGAAACUCAAAGGACUUGGCGGUGUCCCAUAUCAACCUAGAGGAGCCUGUCCCGUAAUCGAUACCCCACGCUAAACCUAACCUGCUUUUGCCAACCAGCCUAUAUACCGCCGUCGCCAGCCUGCCUAAUGAUAGGCCCCACAGCAGGCACAACUGAGCCCCUCAAACACGUCAGGUCAAGGUGUAGCUAAUAAGCAGGUGCCAGAUGGGCUACAUUUUCUAAACACAAGAAAACCACUACAAGCACUAUGAAACAUAGACUGAAAGGCGGAUUUAGUAGUAAGUCGAGCAAGAAAGCCCAACUGAAAACUGCCCUGGGACAC